GAGGAGUAUCCCAAGAUCCUGCACAAACAGAAAAACUUGCUCCCAACGCUAUGAAGGGGUUGUCAAUCCCUUAUAGAUUGUUUGCCAAGUGAGAACUGAAAGCAACAAAGUAACAAAGCAAAGUAAAAGCGGAGAUGUAAACAAUGGAUGUGAAUAGACCCGGGGGCCGUAGUGUUUACUAGUGGCUUCUCUCAUGAAAGCAAGUAGAUGGUGGGUGAACAAAUUACUGUCGAGCAAUUGAUAGAACUACGCAAAGUCGUGGC
rnacentral:lncRNA from 1 species